ensembl:lncRNA
AAUCACUUUUUCUAAGUAUGUCGGAGUGGUUGAGCAGAGAGAAAAAUGAAUACCCUAAGCGAACUAGAAAUCUGGAAAGAACCGAAAUAGAGGCAGUGUCUCAUGACACUUUACUUGAGGACUCACCUGCUGAACUGCUGAUCACUUCUAUAGAUUCCUUCAGCUAACCAGAACUGACUUCAUCAGAGAGUUAUGAUGGAUAAGUCUAUCAGUCUUCUACCUGAAUGCCCCAAGAUAUUGAUGAAGUCAACAAAACAUUGAGCCUCAGAACACAAGAAAUCUUGGACAAACUGGGAGACAGCUUGUCAGUAUCUAAGGGUCCAGUUUGUCCAGUACAGAGAGUUGCCAUAGGUGGACUGGCUACGCUGACCAGAGCCGCUCGAGCAUCCUGUGAGUUGCUGACUUUAUCAAGAAGGAAAAAGGAACACAAAAUCCUUUCCAAGGACUUUGAAAAUAGUCCAGUCAUUAAGAGCUGUAAAAGACUUGAGUUUAGAUCCAAUUCCCUCCUAAACAUCUGCAUGACAGCCUGUAACUUAACAUCAAGAAUAUCUGACACUCUCUAUCAGCUUAUACAGGCAUGGGAUUGCAAGCUGGUACAACCACUCUGGAAAUCAGUCUGGAGGUUCCUCAGAAAAUGGACAUAUUACUACCUGAAGACCCAGCUACACCUCUCCUGGGCAUACCCCAGAAGAUGCUUCAACAUAUAACAAGGACACAUGCUCCACUAUGUUCAUAGCAGCCUUAUUUAUAAUAGUCAGAAGCUGGAAAGAACCCAGAUGUCCUUCAAAGGAGGAAUGGAUACAGAAAUGUGGUACAUUCACACAAUGGAGUACUACUCAGCUAUUAAAAUCAAUGAAUUCAUGAAAUUCUUAGGCAAAUGGAUGGAAUUAGAAAGUAUCAUCCUGAGUGAUGUAACCCAGUUGCAAAAGAACACACAUGGUAUGCACUCACUGAUAAGUGGAUAUUAGCCCAAAAUCUCAGAAUAUCCAAGAUACAAUUUAUAGAACUCAUGAAGCUCAAGAAGAAGGAAGACCAAAGGGUGGGUGCUCUAGUCCUUCUUAGAAGAGGGAACAAAAUACUCAGGGUAGGAAAUAUGGAGACAAAAUGUGGAGCAGAGACUGUAGUAAAGGUCAUCCAGAGACUGCCCCACCUGGGAUCCAUCCCAUAUACAAUCACAAACCCCAGACACUAUUGCAGACGCCAAAAGUGCUUGCUGAAAGGAGCCUGAUAUAGCUGUCCCCUCUGAGACUCUUCCAGAGCCUGACAGAUACGGAGAUAGAUGCUUGCCGACAACCAGUGGACUGAGCACAGGGUCCCCAAGGGAAGAGAUACAAAAAGGACUGAAAGAAGCUGAAGGGGUUUGCAAACCCAUAGGAAGAACAACAAUAUUAACCAACCAGACUUCCCAGAACUCCCAGGAACUAAAACAGCAACUAAAGAGUGGAGGAACCCAUGGCUCCAACCACUUAUAUAACAGAGGAUGUCCUUGUGGGACAUCAGUGAGAAGAGAGGCCGUUCAUCUUCUGAAGGAUCAAUGCCCCAGUGUAGAUGAAUGCCAGGACAAGGGAGAGGGAAAGG